UACGUAGGGGGCAAGCGUUGUCCGGAUUUAUUGGGCGUAAAGAGCGUGUAGGCGGCCAUACAGGUCAGCUGUGAAAACUCGAGGCUCAACCUCGAGACGUCGGUUGAAACCGUAUGGCUAGAGUCCGGAAGAGGAGAGUGGAAUUCCCGGUGUAGCGGUGAAAUGCGCAGAUAUCAGGAAGAACACCCGUGGCGAAGGCGGCUCUCUGGGACGGUACUGACGCUGAGACGCGAAAGCGUGGGGAGCAAACAGG
rnacentral:rRNA from 1 species